GGUACACGAGCGGCGAACGGGUGAGUAACACGUGGGUGAUCUGCCUCGCACUCUGGGAUAAGCCUGGGAAACUGGGUCUAAUACCGGAUAUGACCAAGAGCUGCAUGGUUUUUGGUGGAAAGGUUUACUGGUGCGAGAUGGGCCCGCGGCCUAUCAGCUUGUUGGUGGGGUAACGGCCUACCAAGGCGACGACGGGUAGCCGACCUGAGAGGGUGAUCGGCCACACUGGGACUGAGACACGGCCCAGACUCCUACGGGAGGCAGCAGUGGGGAAUAUUGCACAAUGGGCGGAAGCCUGAUGCAGCGACGCCGCGUGAGGGAUGACGGCCUUCGGGUUGUAAACCUCUUUCGACAGGGACGAAGCGCAAGUGACGGUACCUGUAGAAGAAGCACCGGCCAACUACGUGCCAGCAGCCGCGGUAAUACGUAGGGUGCGAGCGUUGUCCGGAAUUACUGGGCGUAAAGAGCUUGUAGGCGGUCUGUCGCGUCGAUUGUGAAAUCUUGCAGCUCAACUGCAAGCCUGCAGUCGAUACGGGCAGACUAGAGUACUUCAGGGGAGACUGGAAUUCCUGGUGUAGCGGUGAAAUGCGCAGAUAUCAGGAGGAACACCGGUGGCGAAGGCGGGUCUCUGGGAAGUAACUGACGCUGAGAAGCGAAAGCGUGGGUAGCGAACAGGAUUAGAUACCCUGGUAGUCCACGCCGUAAACGGUGGGUACUAGGUGUGGGUUUCCUUCCACGGGAUCCGUGCCGUAGCUAACGCAUUAAGUACCCCGCCUGGGGA
rnacentral:rRNA from 1 species